GCUUGCUUCAGAUACACAUAUACUAAAAUUGGAACAAUACAGAGAUGAUUAGCGUGGCCCCUGUGCAAGGAUGAUACACAAAAUCGUGAAGCAUUUUAUAUUUUU